GAUUCCCCUAGUAACGGCGAGUGAAGAGGGAAGAGCUCAAAUUUGAAAUCUGGCGGUCUAAGGCCGUCCGAGUUGUAAUCUAGAGAGGDGUUUUCCGUGCCGGACCGUGUACAAGUCCCUUGGAACAGGGCGUCAUAGAGGGUGAGGAUCCCGUCCAUGACACGGACUCCCGGUGCUCUGUGAUACACCUUCAAAGAGUCGAGUUGUUUGGGAAUGCAGCUCAAAAUGGGUGGUAAAUUCCAUCUAAAGCUAAAUACAGGCGAGAGACCGAUAGCGAACAAGUACCGUGAGGGAAAGAUGAAAAGAACUUUGGAAAGAGAGUUAAACAGUACGUGAAAUUGUUGAAAGGGAAACGCUUGAAGUCAGUCGCGUCCGCCGGGACUCAGCCUUGCUUUUGCUUGGUGCACUUCCCGGUGGAUGGGCCAGCAUCGAUUUUGGUCGCCGGAAAAGGGCGGGAGGAAUGUGGCAGCUUGCUGUGUUAUAGCCUCUCGUCGUACACGGUGAUUGGGAUCGAGGACUGCAGCACGCCUUUGGUCGGGGUUCGCCCACGCCACGUGCUUAGGAUGC
rnacentral:rRNA from 1 species